ensembl:misc_RNA 7SK 7SK RNA
GGAUGUGAGGGGGGGUGGGUCUGGCUGCUACAUCUGUCACCCCAUUGAUCGCCAGGGUUGAUUCAGCUGAUCUGGUUGGCUACAGCGGUGUCCCCUUCCUCCCUCACUGCUCCAUGUGGGUCCCUCCCAAUGCUGCGGGCUUGGUUGAAGAGGACGGCCUUCCUGGAACAGAGAAGAACCGGUCUUUGGUCGAGGGUAUACGAGUAGUUGCGUUCCCCUGCUAGAACCUCCAAACAAGCUCUCAAGAAGUUACUGUUGCAGGGCCGGGUGGUGGGUACCUGAUUGAGUGUACAUGUUACAAUGAACAAAAACUCAGGUUUGAGCCUCCAGU